CAAACAUGGGCCUCGGGGCAGCAGUUCUGGUGAAGGGGAAAGGAGAAGCCCCAGAAAGCUUCAUGGUCACGCCACGUAUGGGAUGCUCGGCAGCUGCCCUGGCUGGGAUCUAACAACAGGAAGCCAGCGGACCUCACGGGGCCAUUCCCAGGCUUAGAUUGAAGGGAUAGAGACAAGUUUUCACCAUGUUGGCCAGACUCCUCUCGAACUCCUGACCUUAGGCAAUCCGCCCACCUCAGCCUCCGAAAGUGCUGGGAUUACAGACGUGAGCCACCGCACCUGGCCCAAGGAUUCCUAUUUGGAUUGAAUAUCAAGGCUUGCUAGGAAAGACAGCCAACAAGUCACCAAGUUAAUAGAAGGACAAUGAUGCUUCCUUUGCUCCUCAAAAUCUUCCUUCGCUACUAAAAGAUCUAAGUUCGGGAAAACAAUUGGUACAGGAUGUGCAGCUUGAAGAAGCUGAGGGGAUGAAUAUACUAAAUAUGCCACGCUGUCUGCACCAUGCCAGGUAGUCUAGUAUGUAUUGGGUUCCAUUGAGACUGAUGCUACAUCGAAUCCUGAUGAUACAGUUCUCUGCGCCUGUCAACUCUGGUCUGUAGGAGAAUUGCCACAGUCUUAUGAAUAUAAGGCUGGGUUUGGAGGGGGUCAGUUGAAAUUUUAGGAGUUUUCAUAUGACUCUUACUCUUUUAGAUUUGCUAUCUGCAAUUGCAUAUCUGCCAGUGACCUCUGUCUGUUACUGAGGAAGGCUGCUGGCUUCUUUGCUGUAUAUCCUGAUCACACUGACUUCCUUCUGCAACUUCUAGAUAAGUAAAUUUUUUUGAUUUAUCAGGAA